UAUUUUAUGUAAAGAUAAGGUCUUGCUGAGUUGCUUAGGGCCUCACUAAGUUGCUGAGGCUGGCUUUGAACUCACAUUUCUCCUGCUUCAGCCUCCCAAGCUGCUGGGAUUAUAAGCACAGGCCAUGGUGCCCGGCUGAAAAUGGUACAUUUUAAAAACUUUAACUUUUAAAUGUUCAUUACUGGUAUAUAGAAAAAUGAUAACCUUUAUAUAUGAGCUUGUAUCCUGUGCUCCUGCUAAACCCACUUAUUAAUCCUAAGAGUUCUUUUGGGGGGCUGGGGAUGUGGCUCAAGCGGUAGCGCGCUUGCCUGGCAUGCGUGUGGCCAGGGUUCGAUCCUCAGCACCACAUACAAACAAAGAUGUUGUGUCCGCCGAUAACUAAAAAAUAAAUAUUAAAAAUCCUCUCAAAAAAAAAAAAAAAAGAGUUCUUUUGGUACUUCAGGUUUUCUAUAUUUACAAUCAUGACUAAUAAUACUAAUAUAUGAAUUUUAGAGCUAAGUUUGGAAAAUAUAGUCCUUUUUUAAUAUUUUUUAGUUGGAUACAAUAGUUUUAUUAUUAUUUUUUUUUAAUGUGGUGCUGAGGAUCAAACCUAGGGCCUCGAAUGUGCUAGGCAAGUGCUAUACCUCUGAGCCACAACCCCAACCUGAGAAUGUAGUUCUCUCAGGAAAAAAGAUAACUUAGAGGCUAAGACAGAAGGAUUGUGAGUUCAGAGCCAGCCUUAGCAAAAGCAAGGCGCUAAGCAACUCAGUGAGAUCCUGUCUCUAAGUAAAAUACAAAAUAGGGCUGGGGAUGUGGCUCAGUGGUUGAGUAUCCCUGAGUUCAAUUCCUGGUACCAGGAAAAAAAAAAAAUUCUGAUGUGAUCCCAGCAUGGUGGUGAGUUCUUGUAGUUUCAGCUACUUAGGAAGCUAAGGCAGGGGGAUUGCUUGAGGUUAGGAGUUCAAGGCCAGCCUGGGCAACAUAGCAAGACAAGCAUCAGGGAAAAAAAAAAAUUUCUGAUGUGAUAAAAUGGCACAGAAGGAGUUAAUGAAGGCUUGCAAUCUUCCUAUCUCAGUCUCCUUGUCCAGGGGUACCACAGUGCCCAACAUAAAGGCUUAAUCUUAUUACCCUGUCUGAAACAGGGUAUGUGAAUAUUAUAGCUAUUACUAUCUUAUUUAAAAAAAAUUUUUUUGAUAUCUUUAUUUUGUUUAUUUUAAUGUAGUGCUGAGGAUCGAACCCAGGGCCUCACAUGUGCAACGCAAGUGCUCUGCCACUGAGCUACAACCCCAGCUCCUUAUUCUUUUUUUUUCUAUUAUUAAAACUCUGUUAUUUGAAUUGUCUUUUUAAAAAAAUACUUAUUGGGCCGGGGAUGUGGCUCAAGCGGUAGCGUGCUCGCCUGGCAUGUGUGCGGCCCGGGUUCGAUCCUUAGCACCACAUACAAACAAAGAUGUUGUGUCCGCUGAAAACUAAAAAAUAUUAAAAUUCUCUCUCAAAAAAAAAAAAAAAAAAAAAAACAACUUAUUUUUUAGUCAAAAGUGGACACAAUUAUCUUUAUUAUGCCAGGCGAGCGCUCUAUAUCUCUAAGCCACAACCCCAAUCCCUUUUGAAUUGUUUUUAUUAGAGAGUUUUUGUAAGAUACUUGGAUUUCAGAGAUUAUACUGCUAAAAUCUGAGAGUAUUUGUUUUUUCUUUUAUCCUAGGGACUGAACCUGGAGUGCUUUACUACUGAGCUACAUCUGCAGUCCUUUUAUUUUGAGACAGGGUCUCACAAGCUGCCCAGGCUGGCCUUGAACUUGUGAUCCUCCUGUCUCAGCCAAGUCACUGGAAUUACAGAAAGCUGAGGGUGAAUGACCCAGAAUCACUACAUCAGAAUAACAGGUAGUGUUUUCUGAGGAUUUAGAAUGUAUCGGACAUAGUCAGAAGGACUUUCCACUAUUAACUCAUCUAACCCUCAUAAUUCUAUGAGAGUUGUAUUUUUAUAACAUAUGAAUGCUUAAUAACGGAGUCAACAGGAAAAACUGAAAGAUUUGCAAAACGAAUAUGUACACAAUUAAUCUGAAAGACAUGGUGGUUCCAAGAAAGAGCGGGAUCUACCCCUCCAACGUCUGAUUUCACUGUGGAAGGAAAACUUAGGAUUAAGGGAUAUAUUACAUUUCAGAAGGAUUCCAGACGUUUCCAUGUUCUGAAAAACAAAAUGCGAUUUAAAGGAACAAAAAGUAACCAAAACCUCACCUUGAAUUUAAUUUUCAGAUACGCAGCAAUGAUUCUCCUCUCCUCCUCACCAGCCUUCUUUUGAAAAUGGCAGGCCCAGCGGGUGGGGAAAAAAUGGAUGCGUGAGCUAUUUGACCUUUUUUGAACCCAGUCUCUGCCGCCAUCCCGUCACGACUCCCACACGCAUGCGCAGAGGAACACUAGCCUGUUUGCUUUUCCAGAGGUUAGCCAUGCUGAAAACCGCCCUUAACCUUUUCCAUGGAACGUCCCUACGUGCCCUUCCAGCCCCAGCCGCCCGCCCUGAGUCCAAGCCCCAACGUUUUGUUGAGGACCUUCAUUCUGGGGUUCCACUUUCAACUUUCCCCUUAGGAAUUUUUUCUGCAGCUGAUUUCAGAGCAGAGGAUAGGAAUCAACCUCGCAUUUGGAUAUGAACUGCGCCACAAAAGGGCCCUUGCAUCAAAUUACUGCCACAGGAGUUCAACCCUGCGCCAACCCGCGCCAAUCCGUUAGAAACCAAUAGAAACGUAAAGUAGCCACAGGCUCCAUCCACACAAGCCAAGCCAAGCCCUGAGCCCUCCCUCCUCGUUCCCAGUCAACAGACUCGACCUGCCCCUGCCCGCACUCAUUCCUCUCAGAAAAUCCACGGCCGUAGAGAUGCGGGGCUCACCAUCGUAAACGGUGGAGGACUCCAGGAUAGCGGUUCCGGAGGUCCGCAACAUGCGAGUCUCAGUUCAGGUCCAAGACCGGAGCCUUUUCAGAGCCUCCUCAGCGCAGCGAGAGGGCGGCUGACGACCGAAGACCAAAGACGCAGGCAGGCUGACUCAGACCUGCAAGAUCAACUCGUGACUGAUGCUGCAGAAUAUAAUAGGGGCCCGAAGCCUCUGGGAAAUGUAGUUCAAGGCCGAGAAAAGUCGUAGACCAAGGCUAUUCUUCAGUCAUAGGCUCCGCAUCCAGGUUCUCCAGGGCCGUGCCGCAGAGGCUGCCGGGAAUGUUGGUGCAACGUGGACGCACACGCGCAAAAGCGAAUGCUCGCCCUUCCCGCGCCUCCCACGCCUCCCCAGGGACUGAGGGUUCUCUGCCUCAAUCCUGGUGAUGAGGCCCACCCCAGCGUUGUGGGGUGCCAAGAUUAUUUAGUGAGACAGGGUGUUAAAUAGUGUACCAAACCGAGUGCGUAAAGACUGGACUGCGUUGCUUUUUUUGUUUCCCCCCCUGUGCGUGGGGCUGUUCUUGCGUAUGAUUGUUUGAAUGAUGCACUGCAAUGACUGCGCAGAGAAUGUUGCGCAGUUAAGCUCAAUUCUGACGCAGAUGUAGAGUCUGCGGUUAUGGCUUGGUUUGACGCAUGCCUGAGGCUAUAUUUAUCUGUGAAUGCCUGGGGAUGGUUUUGAUAGCCUGCACUUCUGGUUGUUUUCCAGGGGGACUGUGCUUGUGGAUUACUGUGUAACUAUAAGAAGCUGGGUGUGGCGUUCUGAUAACUCCAUGUUGGUUAGGUUGCCUUCAGGACUCUGGCAGUUAGAGAAAUAAAAUAAUUUGAAGCAAAAUUGGAAAGGAGGAAGUAAGGUCUGUCAUCACAGUCAAGGUGUUAGGAUACCAAAAUGGUGAAAUAAGCAGGAUUCUGUAGAAACAAGUGUUUCACUGUUUCUUCCUUGAAUAUGAAAUCUUAGAUGAAUCCGACAAGUUCCUAAGUCACUCAUAGAUAAUAAGAAAUCUUAACUCUUUAGUUAAGUCAUUUUAGUGGUUAAAAUAAAAGACGUCAUGUUUAAUGGUGAAAAAACUUAAGACUUCAUUUAAAACAAGAAAUUUGAACCUUCUCUUUCCCAGACCCACUUUGAAAUAUAGCUAUAUUACAGGUAUUGGUUAAAGCAAUAGUUGAUGUUUAUAAACUGAUUACAUAUUUUUUUUUUGGCCUUAGAGCCAAUUAUAUUUUCACAAUUUUUCGCUUGACCUGGAUUUAAUUGGCUUGUAUGUAUAUGGUGGGUUUUGUGUGUGUGUGUUCCUCUUACUGUCCCUUUCCAGGUAUUACAACAAAUAUGUAAGACUCAGCGAUAAUUUUUCUGAAAGCUCAAAUCUUAUCCCAUAACUUUUUUGUUCUUGCAGAAUCUCUUUCACAGUCCUUAUCAUAGCCUACCUGGAUUGUAGAAUUGCUUUAAGGCUUCAUUUGUCCCUUUUCCUGAUUUGGAUUUCUGUGUCCUAACUGUUGCUAAUUUUACAUAUUUCUCAUUACUACUGACUGCCUCUCUACAACAGCUCUCCUAAAAUGCAGGCUUUUGAUGUAAAUAUUUUAAGUUGAAAGUUGUCUGAAAAUAUCUUUAUUGCACUGAUAGUUUUUGUUGGAGUGAGAAUUCUACAAAUCAGAAUUUAAAGGUAUUACUUAAUAAUCUUGUAGCUGAUGUUUAUAAAAAGACUCUUGUCAUCUGUUCCCUAUUUGUGUGUAAUCUUGUGUUCCCAACCCUCCUGGAAAUGUUAAAUUAUAUUCCCAGUGUACUGAAAUUUCAUAAUUUUGUGUCUGGGUGUGGAUCUUUUUCAAGUUUUUUAUGUGGAUACCAGGCAAGCACUUUUAGUCUAGAAACUAUUGUAUUUAUGAGCUGUUAAAUUUUCUGUGAAUUUUCCUUCCUCCUUCCUUCCUCUUUCUUGCUGAAAUGUAUAUUAUUUGAUAGAAAUUUUUCGUGGGUUGCGCCUCUAAAUGUUUUUCUCCUAUCUUCUCUCUUUUUAAAAAAAUAUUUAUUUAUUUAUGUAUCUUUAGUUUUAGGUGGACACAUUUUUUUUUUUUUUUUUUAAUGUGGUGCUGAGGAUUGAACCUAGUGCCUCAUGCAUGCCAGGCGAGCACUCUGCCACUGAGCCACAACCCCAGGCCCUCUCCUAUUUUCUCUUUUAUCUCUUUAUUUAACUCAAGAAUUAUUUUUUUGAAAUUUUGUUAACUUUAUCUUCCAAUAGUAUUUAAAUUUUAAAUUAUUUAUAUUGUUAAUUUCCUAGAACUCUUUCCUGGUUUUUAUUUUUUUCAUCUUCAUAGCAAUCUGUUCUGUUUGGAUACAGUAUUUUUCCUUAUAUAAUUAUGUAUUUUAAAAUAUUAUGUAGUAUGUUUACUGUCUGAUUCAUAACCAUAUGAAUUACUGAUUUGUAAUUACAUUCAUUAUUAUUUAUUUGGAGUUCUCAUGGCUCCAUGUAUACUCUCUUAUGACCAAAUUCCGUGUCCCUAUUUGACUUACUCUGUUCCUUUCAUAUUGGAAUUUUUCUCAAAUACAAGGUAGUCUUUCCUUCUAAUCAUUGGUUAGUGCUUGUCAAUUGACAAGAGUCCUGCUCUAGCCUUUUCUUUGCAAGAUCCACUGAGGUCAAAUCCCUUUGCCAUUUAAUUUUUCUUGAGAGGACUUCCACCUGUGUGAGCUAAGUUUUGAGUUGCUGGUAUCUGGGAAAAGAAGCCCCAGAAGGCUUCUGAGUGUGGUUUGUUGUCUAACUGUGCCUUAAUUGGCCCUUCUUUGGGUAUCCGCCAUAUCCUGUUAAGAUCAGUUUAUCCAGAGAUCAAAACAAGGAGGCAAAAUAAAGUGGGAAAGGCUGGAGUACAAGUUUGUGUAUAUACUUUCAACCAGAGGCACAUGUCACCAACUGCCCUUUCUGUGGAUUCUGGGCCUUGGGUUUGUUUGUUUUUUGGUACUGGGGUUUUAACCCAGGAAUGCUUUACCACUCAGCCACACCCCAUUCCAUUUUUUUUUUUUUUUAAGUUUUGAGACUGGGUCUCAGUUCCUGAGGGCCUUGAUGAGGCUAGCUUUGAAAUUGGGAUCCUCCUGUCUCAGGCUCCUGAGUUGCUGGAAUUACAGGUGUGUGCCAUCAUGCCCAGCUGGAACUUGGGUUUUACACAGUGAAUUGCCUCUCCUGUGUCAUUCAUGUGCCUUUUGGUAUCAGAAUUCCUCAAAUUUUCAAAAUCAUUGUAGUAUCUCUCUCUCAUUUGCUUUUGUUCUCAUUGCUGUUUUUUUCGCCUUUUGUAGUAUGAUGAGAAAUAAAUGUGUGCUUCACUUACUCUGUAAACACAAGUUUUACUUUUAGUAUUUUCUAUGACAAAAAUGGUCAUAGAACUGGCAUAUAACUGGUUGUGUGUCCUAUUUGUGCUUUUAAAUUUUCUAUUUAAUUAUUUUCUAGUUUUAUCUUCAUCAAGUUCUUUUAAAUGUAUUCUCUGGGUUUCUUAUUCUUCUGUACUCUUGUAACUCUUGUGUUUUAACCGUAUUUUUUGGCUUGAACUCACUAAAAUAAUUCUUCAGCUCUGAUAUUAUUUUCUCCCCAUUUCAUUUUGAACACACUACCUUAAAAUUCUACACACAAAUAUACAUAUAAACAUAAGUGGAGUUUAGUGGAUAAAAUUAUUAUACUGUACAGAUCUGUACCUGGUUGAUAACCAGGUUAAGAAAUUCAAUUCCAUUGAAGCCUGUUAUAUGUACUUUCCCAAUCAGUCCUAUUCUUUUUUCCACAAAGAUAACUAUAAUUUGAACUUAGUGUUACUCAUUCUGAUUUUCUCUUUAUACUUACCUUCCCAUAGCUCUCCAAAUAGUUUACAUUUGCAUGUGUUUGAAAUUUUGUGAAAUGAUGUUCUGUGUAUUCUGUCACUUCUGUUUUAUUUCAUUUUUUUUUGGUACUGGGGAUUGAACCCAAGGCCACUUCACCACUGAGCUGUACACCUAACCCUUUUUAUUUUUGGUACCUGGGAUUGAACUCAGGGUCAUUGAACCACUGAGCCACAUCCCCAGCCCUUUUUAUAUUUUAUUUUGAGACAGGGUCUUGCUCACUUGCUUAGGGCCUUGCUAUGUUGCUGAGGCUGGCUUUGGACUUGCGAUCCUCCUACCUCAGCCACCUGAGCUGCUGGGAUCACAGGCAUGGAUCACUGUGCCCAGCACUUUUUUUUUUUUUUUUUUUUUUUUUUAAUUUUGAGACAGGGCCUUCCUAAGUUGCUAAGGCUGGCCUUGAACUUGUGAUCCUCCUGCCUUGGCCUCUUAAGUCACUAGGAUUACAGUUGUACACGACUGAACCCAGUCUAUCACUUUUUUAAACCCAAGAUUAUGUUUUGGGUAUUUUUUCAUAAAUCUGUUUAGUUCAUUUUCUUGCUGCUGGGUGGUAUUCUACUGUGUGCAUAUGCCAAUUUUUAUUUAAUAUUCUACUCUUGACAGACACCCCCUCCCCACUCCCCAUACUAAUGGUGCUGCUAUGAACAGUUCUGUGUGCCUUUAAAAGUGAAUAUGUAUGGGCUGGGGUUGUGCUUCAGUGGCAGAGCACUUGCCCUAGCAUGUGUGAGGAACUGGAAUUGAUUCUCAGAAAUGCAUAUAAAUAAAUAAAAUAAAAUAAAGGCCCAUUGACAACUAAAAAAAUAUUUUAAAAAAAGGUGUAUAUGUGUUAGGAUAACUCUAGAGUAUAAUUCCUACAAGUAGGAUUUACUUUUGGAGUCUCUGCUAAAUCUUCUGGAUAUGUACCUUUGGCUUGUAGUUUUGCAGUGGUAUUCUAGUUCAUGACUUGGUUUUUACCUUCUUUAUGGUGUCUUUUUGACCAAUAAGAAUAUCUAUCAUUCCUUUAAAUAUCAGAAAUUCUGUUUAAGAAACUCUUCCCUAGUAUAAGGUUGUAAAGAUACUCUGUUCUCUUACAAAGAGUUUAAUAAUUUUCUUUUAUAUUACUGUACUUAAGCCAUAUUAAAUUGUUUUUUCAAAUAAUGUGAAGAAUCUAUUGUAUUUCCCAUAUGAUAACAAAUUAUCUGAACAUUAUGUUAACUUUAUAAUAUUCUGAUAACAUUACUAAAAAUGUUUAUAGAUAUUCAUAAUAAAUUGAUUUUCCAAA